rnacentral:rRNA from 1 species
GGUUAAGCGACUAAGCGUACACGGUGGAUGCCCUGGCAGUCAGAGGCGAUGAAGGACGUGCUAAUCUGCGAUAAGCGUCGGUAAGGUGAUAUGAACCGUUAUAACCGGCGAUUUCCGAAUGGGGAAACCCAGUGUGUUUCGACACACUAUCAUUAACUGAAUCCAUAGGUUAAUGAGGCGAACCGGGGGAACUGAAACAUCUAAGUACCCCGAGGAAAAGAAAUCAACCGAGAUUCCCCCAGUAGCGGCGAGCGAACGGGGAGGAGCCCAGAGCCUGAAUCAGUGUGUGUGUUAGUGGAAGCGUCUGGAAAGGCGCGCGAUACAGGGUGACAGCCCCGUACACAAAAAUGCACAUACUGUGAGCUCGAUGAGUAGGGCGGGACACGUGGUAUCCUGUCUGAAUAUGGGGGGACCAUCCUCCAAGGCUAAAUACUCCUGACUGACCGAUAGUGAACCAGUACCGUGAGGGAAAGGCGAAAAGAACCCCGGCGAGGGGAGUGAAAAAGAACCUGAAACCGUGUAUGUACAAGCAGUGGGAGCCUCUUUUAUGGGGUGACUGCGUACCUUUUGUAUAAUGGGUCAGCGACUUAUAUUCUGUAGCAAGGUUAACCGAAUAGGGGAGCCGAAGGGAAACCGAGUCUUAACUGGGCGUUAAGUUGCAGGGUAUAGACCCGAAACCCGGUGAUCUAGCCAUGGGCAGGUUGAAGGUUGGGUAACACUAACUGGAGGACCGAACCGACUAAUGUUGAAAAAUUAGCGGAUGACUUGUGGCUGGGGGUGAAAGGCCAAUCAAACCGGGAGAUAGCUGGUUCUCCCCGAAAGCUAUUUAGGUAGCGCCUCGUGAAUUCAUCUCCGGGGGUAGAGCACUGUUUCGGCAAGGGGGUCAUCCCGACUUACCAACCCGAUGCAAACUGCGAAUACCGGAGAAUGUUAUCACGGGAGACACACGGCGGGUGCUAACGUCCGUCGUGAAGAGGGAAACAACCCAGACCGCCAGCUAAGGUCCCAAAGUCAUGGUUAAGUGGGAAACGAUGUGGGAAGGCCCAGACAGCCAGGAUGUUGGCUUAGAAGCAGCCAUCAUUUAAAGAAAGCGUAAUAGCUCACUGGUCGAGUCGGCCUGCGCGGAAGAUGUAACGGGGCUAAACCAUGCACCGAAGCUGCGGCAGCGACACUGUGUGUUGUUGGGUAGGGGAGCGUUCUGUAAGCCUGUGAAGGUGUGCUGUGAGGCAUGCUGGAGGUAUCAGAAGUGCGAAUGCUGACAUAAGUAACGAUAAAGCGGGUGAAAAGCCCGCUCGCCGGAAGACCAAGGGUUCCUGUCCAACGUUAAUCGGGGCAGGGUGAGUCGACCCCUAAGGCGAGGCCGAAAGGCGUAGUCGAUGGGAAACAGGUUAAUAUUCCUGUACUUGGUGUUACUGCGAAGGGGGGACGGAGAAGGCUAUGUUGGCCGGGCGACGGUUGUCCCGGUUUAAGCGUGUAGGCUGGUUUUCCAGGCAAAUCCGGAAAAUCAAGGCUGAGGCGUGAUGACGAGGCACUACGGUGCUGAAGCAACAAAUGCCCUGCUUCCAGGAAAAGCCUCUAAGCAUCAGGUAACAUCAAAUCGUACCCCAAACCGACACAGGUGGUCAGGUAGAGAAUACCAAGGCGCUUGAGAGAACUCGGGUGAAGGAACUAGGCAAAAUGGUGCCGUAACUUCGGGAGAAGGCACGCUGAUAUGUAGGUGAAGUCCCUCGCGGAUGGAGCUGAAAUCAGUCGAAGAUACCAGCUGGCUGCAACUGUUUAUUAAAAACACAGCACUGUGCAAACACGAAAGUGGACGUAUACGGUGUGACGCCUGCCCGGUGCCGGAAGGUUAAUUGAUGGGGUCAGCGCAAGCGAAGCUCUUGAUCGAAGCCCCGGUAAACGGCGGCCGUAACUAUAACGGUCCUAAGGUAGCGAAAUUCCUUGUCGGGUAAGUUCCGACCUGCACGAAUGGCGUAAUGAUGGCCAGGCUGUCUCCACCCGAGACUCAGUGAAAUUGAACUCGCUGUGAAGAUGCAGUGUACCCGCGGCAAGACGGAAAGACCCCGUGAACCUUUACUAUAGCUUGACACUGAACAUUGAGCCUUGAUGUGUAGGAUAGGUGGGAGGCUUUGAAGUGUGGACGCCAGUCUGCAUGGAGCCGACCUUGAAAUACCACCCUUUAAUGUUUGAUGUUCUAACGUGGACCCGUGAUCCGGGUUGCGGACAGUGUCUGGUGGGUAGUUUGACUGGGGCGGUCUCCUCCUAAAGAGUAACGGAGGAGCACGAAGGUUGGCUAAUCCUGGUCGGACAUCAGGAGGUUAGUGCAAUGGCAUAAGCCAGCUUGACUGCGAGCGUGACGGCGCGAGCAGGUGCGAAAGCAGGUCAUAGUGAUCCGGUGGUUCUGAAUGGAAGGGCCAUCGCUCAACGGAUAAAAGGUACUCCGGGGAUAACAGGCUGAUACCGCCCAAGAGUUCAUAUCGACGGCGGUGUUUGGCACCUCGAUGUCGGCUCAUCACAUCCUGGGGCUGAAGUAGGUCCCAAGGGUAUGGCUGUUCGCCAUUUAAAGUGGUACGCGAGCUGGGUUUAGAACGUCGUGAGACAGUUCGGUCCCUAUCUGCCGUGGGCGCUGGAGAACUGAGGGGGGCUGCUCCUAGUACGAGAGGACCGGAGUGGACGCAUCACUGGUGUUCGGGUUGUCAUGCCAAUGGCACUGCCCGGUAGCUAAAUGCGGAAGAGAUAAGUGCUGAAAGCAUCUAAGCACGAAACUUGCCCCGAGAUGAGUUCUCCCUGACCCUUUAAGGGUCCUGAAGGAACGUUGAAGACGACGACGUUGAUAGGCCGGGUGUGUAAGCGCAGCGAUGCGUUGAGCUAACCGGUACUAAUGAACCGUGAGGCUUAACCUUAC